rnacentral:rRNA from 1 species
GACGAACGCUGGCGGCGUGCUUAACACAUGCAAGUCGAGCGAUGAAGCACCUUCGGGUGUGAAUUAGCGGCGAACGGGUGAGGAACACGUGAGAAAUCUGCCUUCAACACUGGGAUAACUCCGGGAAACCGGGGCUAAUACCGGAUAUGAAACCUGCGGGCAUCCGCGGGUUUGGAAAGUUUUUCGGUUGAAGAUGAUCUCGCGGCCUAUCAGCUUGUUGGUGAGGUAAUGGCUCACCAAGGCGACGACGGGUAGCCGGCCUGAGAGGGCGACCGGCCACACUGGGACUGAGACACGGCCCAGACUCCUACGGGAGGCAGCAGUGGGGAAUAUUGGGCAAUGGAGGAAACUCUGACCCAGCGACGCCGCGUGCGGGAUGAAGGCCUUCGGGUUGUAAACCGCUUUCAGCAGGGAAGAAGCGAAAGUGACGGUAGGUGCAGAAGAAGGACCGGCCAACUACGUGCCAGCAGCCGCCGCGG